rnacentral:rRNA from 1 species
AGAGUUUGAUCCUGGCUCAGAACGAACGCUGGCGGCAGGCUUAACACAUGCAAGUCGAACGCGUGUAGCAAUACACGAGUGGCGCACGGGUGAGUAACGCGUGGAUAUCUGCCUUUUGGUUCGGAAUAACUCCGGGAAACUGGAGCUAAUACCGGAUGGUUCCUACGGGAUAAAGAUUUAUCGCCAAAAGAUGAGUCCGCGUACGAUUAGCUAGUUGGUGAGGUAAUGGCUCACCAAGGCGACGAUCGUUAGCUGGUCUGAGAGGACGAUCAGCCACACUGGGACUGAGACACGGCCCAGACUCCUACGGGAGGCAGCAGUGGGGAAUAUUGGACAAUGGGGGCAACCCUGAUCCAGCCAUGCCGCGUGAGUGAUGAAGGCCUUCGGGUUGUAAAGCUCUUUUGGCGGGGACGAUGAUGACGGUACCCGCAGAAUAAGCCCCGGCUAACUUCGUGCCAGCAGCCGCGGUAAGACGAAGGGGGCUAGCGUUGUUCGGAAUUACUGGGCGUAAAGCGAGUGUAGGUGGUUGUCAUAGUCAGGUGUGAAAGCCUUGAGCUCAACUCAAGAAAUGCACUUGAUACUGGGCGACUAGAGGACCGGAGAGGAUAGUGGAAUUCCCAGUGUAGCGGUGAAAUGCGUAGA